CGAUUGCGAGCCACGCUUCACGCAACCGUGUUUGCGUACUUGUGUUUCGAGUUGCGUGGUCGUGCGGAGUUAUAUUUACCAAAUUUAAAUAUAAUCGUUUCUACUGAUUCAAUAAUAUUACAUGUAUAUGCUUCAUUGGUGUUGUGUUUUGAAGUGUGAAAUGCAAAGUAAUUGUGAUAAAGUCAAGAUAAAGUUCACUUUUAAACUGAACUAAAUAAGGUAUCUGAGAGACAACAAUGGUUGAAUGCAAUACAAUGUACAGGUUUUACUAGCGAAAUGAAAAUUUUCCUGUCCUGUCUGCUGUAAUCAUUUUAUAUCUGGUAAGUUACAAUUACAACAGUAACAAUUUUUGAAGAUGUUAACAUUUUAAUCUUAUAGGAAAACCAGCCGACUUAAUCGAUAAUAACAAUCUCCAGAUUGGGUUCCUUCAAUAAAUAUGGGCUAUAAACACAAUGAAAUAAGUUCCCCAAAAUCUAAAAUGGAGUGGUAUCAAAGGAGAAUUAAAGGAAAAAAUAUUCAUAUUGAAAUUAUUUAUAAGGCACUGGACUGUCUUAAAUUCUACAAUAAUACUAGAAUCAGCUGAGAGAAGUGGUCUACAAAAAACCAGGAAGGAAACGAAUAUGUGGCUACGAAAGGCAAAAGAAAGGUUUACAAAGCAAAUGUGACACAUUUUUUUGAAAUAUUUAGGAAUAUCAGUAAAUUGCAUUAAAAAAAUGUAUGAAAAGAUUUUGUUCAAUAAAAAUGUUUAUAUUUA